UAUGAAGUCACUUCCUCUUGUCAUAAUGCCUCCAGCUAUACCCUGAGCUGCAAUCAAUUACCUUUCAAAUAUUAAUGGGAAAUGGUGCUGUUAGUAGAAAAUAUUAAUAACAGUGAUUGGCUCACCAUGGCCAUGUGACUGAAUUCUGGCCAAUGAAAUAUGAGGAAAAGUCUGCUGAGGAGCUUCUGAGAAGAUUUCUUUAUUCUUUUAAAGAAACACACAGGACACACAAGAAAGGAGCAGUCUUUUUGUUUUCUCUGGACAUUGGUGUCUAAGGAUGUGAUAGCUGGAGCUGCUGUAGCCAUCUUGUGAGCUUGAGGGGAGUUGGCCAACAGGCAAAGGAUGGCAGAGGAGAAAGACACAAAGAACCUUGAUAUUGAUGCUGAAUUGUUAACAGAGAAGCACUGUAUUUUCUUCACCUCCAGCCUUCCUGCUAUGUAAGGGGGAAAACAAUCCAUCAAUCACC